UACGUAGGGUGCAAGCGUUGUCCGGAAUUAUUGGGCGUAAAGAGCUCGUAGGCGGUCUGUCGCGUCUGCUGUGAAAACUCGGGGCUUAACCCCGGGCCUGCAGUGGGUACGGGCAGACUAGAGUGCGGUAGGGGAGACUGGAAUUCCUGGUGUAGCGGUGAAAUGCGCAGAUAUCAGGAGGAACACCGGUGGCGAAGGCGGGUCUCUGGGCCGUAACUGACGCUGAGGAGCGAAAGCAUGGGUAGCAAACAGG
rnacentral:rRNA from 1 species